rnacentral:rRNA from 1 species
GAUCCUGGCUCGGAUUGAACGCUGGCGGCAGGCCUAACACAUGCAAGUCGAACGGUAACAGGAAGCAGCUUGCUGCCUCGCUGACGAGUGGCGGACGGGUGAGUAAUGUCUGGGAAACUGCCUGAUGGAGGGGGGAUAACUACUGGAAACGGUAGCUAAUACCGCAUAACGUCGCAAGACCAAAGAGGGGGACCUUCGGGCCUCUUGCCAUCGGAUGUGUCCAGAUGGGAUUAGCUAGUAGGG